rnacentral:lncRNA from 1 species
CUCGCCCGAAGACAUGACCCUAUGCCAACACCAUCAAUCACAGCCACCAUAGACAGCACCGACCAAUAACACUAAGAGCAAUUAGCUUAGACAACAAACCAAAAAAGUACUACAAGUCCACACUUCAGAACUACUAAGAACAACAAAAGGACAAAACACAAAUAGGAUUAACAAGUAAAACACUAUUAUGAAAUACAGA